UAAAACCCCACCGACAAUAGAACCCCAAUUUAUUUUAAAAAUACCCGACAAUAGAACUCCAAUAAUUUGAGCUUUGAGUGUGCAACCAACUUAGGAUUAAAAACUCAAUACUAGAUGUCGCCAGUGUCGCCUAUGUUGUUCUUACAUCGUGAAACAAGGCGAAAUGGGCGAAACAAUUUGUUGCUAAUUUAUACUUAUAUUCCUGUGAUUUCAAAUACCAAAUUGAACUUCGAAAAUUAUAUGCAUACUGUCAGUCAUUCCAACAAAUUGACUUAGCGCUCAGUCACUUUCCAUCCAAUAGUCCCAUCAUGCUGUCAAAAGCCUAACACUCAUGUGUGAAGCUUACAUAUCGUGGAAUACAAAUGUGUGAAGACAAGGUAUUUCCCCAUUACUGCUACCACACCAACCACACCACGUCAAAUGCCAAAUUCAGCACCAUUCACCCAUAUGAUCAAGCAUCAGGAAAUUUACCUCAACCUAAGGAGUAAAGAUGUUGGUUGCUGUGAUUUCCAUUUUUGCGGUUUUUUAUCAUGAAAACUUCAGUGUGCUUCUUAGUAUAGAUCCUUAAGCCAAUGCUGACCUUUGUCCAUGAAGGAAGAGGGACAUCCAGCAACGUUCUGCUCCAUCCUUAUCUCCCAGACGUACGCUCAUCUAGCUUCACUGUUUUUGCUGCUACAACUUGUCUUGCUUCACCGACGAGUUGGAACAUUUCAGUGGUCGCUACCCUUUGCUGUUACACUCCUGCAGUUACUCACCACGGGAUUAUGCCCAGGUAAUGCAGAGGAGACGUCGAGAAGAUGGAUUUUCUCAUCUUUAACAAUCGUCACCAGUCUCUGUCGGAUGUUACCCCUGCUCCUGGUGCGAACGAAACUCGGUGGAAUCGCGACCGACACCGAGACUCGUCAUCACCGUGGAUCAUCGUAUUGUUGGUAUUAUUGCGUUAGUGUUAGUUAACCCG